rnacentral:snoRNA from 1 species
AUAGCCACAUUCUCUGGGCAAGAGUAGUCUACAUAAAAGUAGUCUGUCUCUAAUCGGAUGUGGCUACAUAAAAUUCCCUACAUUAAUCCCAAAUGAUCUAACAUUAAUCAUUUGAUUCAAGUAUGGGAAACAUUAUU